rnacentral:rRNA from 1 species
GUGGGGAAUAUUGGACAAUGGGCGAAAGCCUGAUCCAGCCAUGCCGCGUGUGUGAAGAAGGUCUUCGGAUUGUAAAGCACUUUAAGUUGGGAGGAAGGGCAGUAAGUUAAUACCUUGCUGUUUUGACGUUACCGACAGAAUAAGCACCGGCUAACUUCGUGCCAGCAGCCGCGGUAAUACGAAGGGUGCAAGCGUUAAUCGGAAUUACUGGGCGUAAAGCGCGCGUAGGUGGUUUUGUAAGUUGGAGGUGAAAUCCCCGGGCUCAACCUGGGAACUGCCUCCAAAACUGCAUGACUAGAGUACGGUAGAGGGUAGUGGAAUUUCCUGUGUAGCGGUGAAAUGCGUAGAUAUAGGAAGGAACACCAGUGGCGAAGGCGACUACCUGGACUGAAACUGACACUGAGGUGCGAAAGCGUGGGGAGCAAACAGGAUUAGAAACCCUAGUAGUCC